UACUCCUGUUAAUGACAAUUAAUAUUAGAGGCGACCCUCAGGCGGCCUUCGGCGGGUUACUUGUCAAAAUAAAAAAAUAAACGUCUAAUCCCAUCGGGGGGCGGCAAGACAGUCACAAACACGGGCUUGUUUGUGCGUCUGUAACGGCGAUAAGCUUUGCUAGAUGAGCAUCCUGACAGAAUAACAAGCUAAAUGGUCUUGGAGAAAGGCGUCGCAAUCGGCAUUGACCUGGGCAUCACGUAUACCGCUUGUUGUAGGUGCUAAGAAGAGACCGGACACACCGGAUCCAGUUUGAUCAUUCAUAGAAUUUAUUGCAGGUCUGACACAUCGCUCACAUAUGUUCGCAGCUGACAGCAUUUACAGUUUCAAGUAAGGAUGUGGCUAGCCGCUCCUUAUUGAGGCCAUUUGGAGUUGUCAUAGCAGAGGACUCGCGUGUGCAACCUAACAUGAAUAACGACGGUCCUGUUCUCCGGUGAGUCCCAGAUGCGGGCCAUGGAACGGGACUGUCAUACAUGCUCAUGAGUUUAACCACGCAACGACAUGAGCCAAUGGCCGCUGCGAUGAGGGUACUGUAUUUUGUUCACAUGCACGCUGUAACGUGAACACCAGCUGAAAAUGAGUCUUGACGCUUUCAAUUACUGAACUGGCACAAGCUCGUUUCUUUGGUUCAGUUUUUGCACAUGCAGCAAAGCGCCGUGCACGGUUGUUUUUUUUUUUUUUUUUGGGUAUCGUCAACGUCACACAGUGAAGCGAAUCGUUCUCACAAAUGUACUGUUCGGAAAGCUUGAAAUGAAAAGGCAGUCAAGUGGCAAAGCGCGAGGAGUCAUUUUGAGCUGCAGAGUCUGAGGAUCGUUCGAUCAGUUGGGAGACAGCAAGAUGAGUUUAAGGUUUUGAUUGAAUGGCCAUAUUUGUUGAAAAUCCCCCUUAAAAAUAUAUAAAGAUGUGUUUUUUUUCCCUUCUAUUGGAUAAAACAAGUUGAGACAUCUGCUUUUGAGGCAUCAAUGUAACCUAGUCGCUAACAAAAAUGAUUGACUUCACUUCUACGUUCAUGUCUCCUCUCGCUUUGCUUUUACAUAAAAACAAUUUACGGGAAUAAUAUUUAUUUCAUGUUUCUCUGUCACACACACACACACACGCAGACAUUUUACUCUUAUCAAUUCAGUACCAGAACAACCCAACCUGAGCUGCUAUAAUACGAGCACCUGUGGCGCAGGAGCAAAUGUCCCAUUCAAGAUUUAUGUCUCAGCAGGCCUUGACCACUUCUCAUCAUCUUGACUCUCACAACAAACGAUAGCUGGCAAAAAUCAAACCAAAGCAAAAAUAAAUAAAUACAAAGCACACAGUGCUGAAACGUCAUCAUUUCAUCUCGUGUUUUUUUUUUUUUUAACAGUUGACCUUCUUUGUUCUUUUUUCCGGCACUACCGCUACAUCCUUUAUUACCAUCCUGAGAAUUAAAGCUUCUUAACACAUCUGCCUCCUCUCUCUCACUUACUUUACCCUCAUUUAAAAA